CAGAGGGUGCGAGCGUUGUCCGGAAUCACUGGGCGUAAAGGGCGCGUAGGCGGCUUUGCAAGCGUGCGGUGAAAGCUCGGGGCUUAACUCCGAGUCUGCCGUGCGAACUGUGAGGCUUGAGUCUGGUAGAGGUCGAUGGAAUUCCGGGUGUAGCGGUGGAAUGCGUAGAGAUCCGGAAGAACACCGGUGGCGAAGGCGGUCGACUGGGCCAGUACUGACGCUGAGGCGCGACAGCGUGGGGAGCAAACAGGAUUAGAUACCCUGGUAGUCCACGCCGUAAACGAUGGGCACUAGGUCCUUGGGGGAGCCACCCCUUGAGGGCCGGCGCUAACGCAUUAAGUGCCCCGCCUGGGGAGUACGGCCGCAAGGCUG
rnacentral:rRNA from 1 species